UACGGGGGGAGCAAGCGUUGUUCGGAUUUACUGGGCGUAAAGGGCGCGUGGGCGGUCGUGACAAGUCACUUGUGAAAUCUCCGGGCUUAACUCGGAACGGUCAAGUGAUACUGUCGGACUAGAGUACAGAAGGGGCAACUGGAAUUCUCGGUGUAGCGGUGAAAUGCGUAGAUAUCGGGAGGAACACCAGUGGCGAAGGCGACUACCUGGCCCAUUCUUGACGCUGAGGCGCGAAAGCUAGGGGAGCGAACGGG
rnacentral:rRNA from 1 species